rnacentral:lncRNA from 10 species
GUGAGCGCACGCAACCGUGCAGUCAGAUUCCUCCGCCGACCGCGGCCCUCUCUCCUCGGGCUUUGCCUUCGCUCUCUAGCUUUUCUUCUUUCACUCCCGCUCGCCGACUCCAGCCCGCUGGGCUCACGCUCUGCCGGACACCAAUCCCGGCGGCCCUGCCCGACGGAGCUCAAGGCUAGGCCUGGCCUUGUCCGCGGAGUCCGCCCCUCGCCGCCACCGGGAUCCGCCCCCGCGCCGACACGCACUUCCGGCAGCGCCGCGGCCGGGAGGGACCGAGCGGGGAGCAAGGCCUGCGGGGAGGCGCAGGAUGGACGCGUUGGCUGUCAUGAUGUAGGACCUCCUGACCUAGAACCAUGCCCGGCGCAGGGAGAACAACGAGCUUACGGACCGGGUGCGGGGGCUGCUGUGCGAGAAAGCCUACCUGCUGGCCCGGGAGCGUUCGCCGGCCCACCUGGUGGCUUUCCCUGGACGUUUAACGGCGACUCCGCCCGGCCUCCCGACUUUUUGAUGCAGGCGUUCUCUUACAUGACUUUCUUCGAGGCUAGAUUCUCGAAAGACAUCCUGAAGGUGGCUUUCUUAAUUAGCUGCCUCACCGGCUGGCGGAGCAGUUCGUAGUCGCCUACAUCGAGAGGGAGAGCCCCGUCCUGGCUCAGUACUGGGGCUUCGUGGACGCGCUGUAGCGGGUCUUCGCCGUCGUGGGUAGGAAACAGUCGGGCCGGAUCCCCGGUGUCUGGGGAGCGGCUGCCGGCCGGGCCCGCGCGAGCCGCUUCACUCCUACAAGCCCGGCUCACUAGUUCCAAGCUGCUGGACUUUGACCCUCGCUGGGAAGCUUGAUCGCCGCCUGUUCUCGCCAAUCUCUAUGCCUUUGCACUGCCCAGCAACCCGGUCACUGCCCAGGACCUGUUAAAAGUUGAAUGGACCUCCCAGAAUCACGCCGCUGCCACCGCCGUUUCUAGAGACGGCUUUUGGCCACCUUUGAGAAUCAGGGUCAAACUUGGAAGGGCCUGCAUUUGUCACACUUCCUCGGACACUAAUUUGGAUAGUUCAGGCCCAGAGACGGCUUCCCGGGUUAGUGUGCCUGACAACACUGAAGAAAAAUUGUGACAUUUUCCUUCCCCAGAAUUACUUCGUUUUAUACAUUUCACUUCUCUUCUGAAAUCACAGCAAUGCCAGUUUGCGCCUUUUGGUCUGAGGAACGCAGGCCCUGGCCACUACCAGGAAAAAGUAUUUACUUUUAAAACUUGAAUGUAUAUCUUUACCGUAUGCCUAGUACAGUAGUGCUUGGAAGAAACAGAUUAGUAAGACAAAAUAUAUGUCUUCAAGAACACUUACGUUCUGAGAAAGAAUUCUGAAUGCAGAUUCUAAUGUCUGGUAAAAUGCUUUACAGUGUAAAGAAUGCAUAUAUGAUUCUUAUUUUAUGGCAUUUUAAACUUUCCACCCCACGGUUUUAAAGUGUUAAUAUAUGUUAAAAAUAUAUGCAAUUUAUAAAGGAGAAGGAAAGCCCAGCUUGAUUUUUGCUGCCAAAGAUGGUAUAUUUAAAAUUAAACGUAACUAAUGGCAAAAAAUAAUGGGAAUGGUGCAGUCUUUGAGCUGUAUCCAGUUGGCAUUAUUCUCUUGGACUAAAAGGAAUAGUAUUAACUUCCUCACUUUGGGUAAGCCACUUUAGAUUUUUGGGCUGCAGUUUUCUCAGGUAAUUAGAGACUUUAUAUUAUGAAAGUUUGGUUCACAAUUCUUUGAGUCUCUUUUGGGAACAAAGAAGGUAAGAGGAGGAUAUGUGCCCUCCUCUCAAUCAAGGGGUUUCUUGAAACCCUCUAAGGAGAAAAAUCUGAAACUGCCUUUCCUAAAACGUUCAUGGGUUUGUCAUUCUGAUGAUCAAUAUCGUCCCACUGAAGUAUCUUUUUGAAUUCCUAGUUAGGAAUCUUUAUGUUAAGAUAAACUGAUCACUCUCUCCUUCGUGGACAGUUUAUCUACCUAAAGAUGAUAGGGGAAAACACUGUUUUUGAAAGACGAAAUAAAGACAUGUUGUAGCAGUUA